AAUAAUAGUAAUAAUAAUAGUUCCAACAACUAAAGACGCUACUAACGCUAAACGAUACUACACCAUAGCAAUAAAGUUACGUAGUUUGUCUAUUCAAACCAAACUUUAUUAAUUAAAAUAAUGUACAGUGUAGCGGUGGUCAGAUUGAAUAACAUACAGUCAAAAAAGGAGAAAAGUCGUCCUUUACACCAACUCGCGGCCAUCCUGCCUGCCUGUCUCGUGGGUGCCUGCGGAUGUCGUCACGUCGUAGCGUGUCGAUCCGUCUCAUCGCCUGGAAGCUUCCACGGAGAACUUUCGGAAGUCCACCAUAAACUGCCCGUACCUCAUUUGUCGUCCUGGAGCCGGACAAGCCUGCUGGAUAACACCUCGGGCCAUCUUCAUGCGCCACCUGUCCUGUUUACCUACCUUCCAAAAACACCACGGUGACGUCACAAGCCGGUACACAAACAAGUUAGCACAUUGCACCUUCACGGCUCUCUCGUCUUCCAGUGAGCAUUUUAUGAUGGAGCUGGGCCAGUCCAUCGGCAAAGUUGUAAUGUUCUUAUCGAAGGGUGAAUGAAAGUUUUCACUUCAGGCUCAUGUUUGUGUUCAAGCCAUUCACUGGGCUGUUGUCUUAUCAGUUGCUGCCAGCAGAGGGCUGAAGAGUCACACUCGACAAAAGUUGCAUUUCGUGAAUACUUUAUCAUCACCUCCAAUGAGUGAUGAGUACGUGAGUACGUUCUGGUGAGUCUUCUGAUGUCGUUGUAGAAAGCUGUCUGUGCCAAUCGUGCAGACACACCACGGUGCUGCUAUAAUGGGUUCUAUGAACAAGUGGAAUGGUUGCAUAACAACACACUUUCCACGUGUUAAACUCCUAUGUGAAGGAAAACUGACAGGAGCGAUGUUGAUAAUGACAGGUGAUUAUUUAUUUAAAACUCUUUAUAUUGAAUUUGUAGCUACUUUUGGCAGAAAAUAUUCAAGAUUCAAGAGAGUUUUAUUGUCGUGCAUGGUAAA